rfam:Tilletiaria anomala TBC 951 K437scaffold_33, whole genome shotgun sequence.
GGCCCUAUAGUGUAGAGGUUUAGCACGUGGGAUUUUGAUUAUCGCAUUAUUCCUUAAUGAGUCUCACAUUUCCCGAGACGGGGGUUCGAGUCCCCCUAGGACCU